rnacentral:lncRNA from 1 species
UGUUAUGAGGAAUUUUGGAUUAUCCGGGCUCCAGGCACUGCCUGGUCUGGAUAAGGAGGAAACAGCUUGAAUUUGAGUCCUUGAGCUAGUUACUAAAGCUCUCUGAGCCCCGGUCUCUUCAUCCAUACAAUGUAGACAAUGAUGGAACGCCGUCCUCUUCAUCGGGGAUGCCAUGAAGAUGAGCAGAAAAAUCAUGUGAAUAUGUUAGCACCCUGCCUGGCACGUAGUAAGUGCUUAGUGAGUGUUAGGUGUAUCGACAGUGAUGGCAGGGACGGUGGUGGUGAUGCUGGCGGUGCGGAUGGAGGUGAUGAUGCUGAUAGUGGCGAUGAUGAUGGUGGUGGUGGUGAUGGUGGUGGGAAGGAUGGAGGUGAUGGUGGUAAUGGUGAUGGUGGUGGUGAUGGUAGAGAUGGUGGUGGUGAGGAAGGUGGUGAGGAUGAUGGUGAUGCUGGCGGUGAGGAUGGAGGUGAUGAUGCUGAUACUGAUGAUGAUGAUAGUGAUGGUGGUGAUGGUGGUGGGAAGGUUGGAGGUGAUGGCAAUGGUGGUGAUGAUGGAGAUGGUGGUGGUGAUGAUGGUGAUGGUGGUGAUGAUGGAGAUGGUGGUGAUGGUGGUGGUAAGGAUGGUGGUGAUGGUGGUGAUGAUGGUGAGGAUGGUGGUGAUGGUGGUGGUGAGGAUGGAGGUGGUGGUGAGGAUGGAGGUGAUGAUGAUGGUGUUGGUGGUGGAAAGGAUGGAGGUGAUGGUGGUGGUGAUGGUGGUGGUGAUGGUGGUGGUGGUGAUGGUGGUGGUAAGGAUAGAAAUGAUGGCGGUGGUGUUGACGACAAUGGUGAUGUGGUUCCAGGCCUGGGAUUUGGUGCUGGUGAUAUGGAGAUUUAAAAAGGGAAGCAGGAGAGAUAAGCACUAAUUGGCAAUUACCAUACUUUGUGUGACAAGAGCAGUUAUGAGGAGCAUGAGGCUGAAGUGGUCAACUCUUCAAGAAAAUACUUAUUUUAAAAAACAUUAUUUUUAGGAAAACGAAAGGCAUUGCAUGGAGGGGAAACCACCCGUGCCGUGGUGUGGAGGCAUGAAAUGGCAGGGUGUUCACUGUCCCUAAGCACGAAGCCUGGGCUG